UUCCCUUCGGAGUUUGUCGGCUUUAGGAAGACGUUCGUCGGUUCCAUUAAUCCCGCCGUGGUACUUUCCUGAGUUUCGAAAUGCCUGUUAAGAGAUCACUGAAAUUGGAUCAUCUCUUAGAAGCAAAAUCAUUUGAUUCUUCAAAAACCACAAGGAAGAAAAGUAUUACAACUUACUCUCCAACAACGGGAACUUGUCAGAUGAGCCCAUUUGCCUCUCCUGCAAGCUUUAAAGAACAAGAGCACAAAAGUGAACCAUCAGAUGGAAAGAGGAAAAAAUUGAAUUGCCUCAGUUUAACUGAAAGGAAGGAAUCUACAACAAAAGACAAUGAUGAAUUCAUGGCAUUGCUAUCUAAAGUUGAAAAAUCAUCAGAAGAAAUCGUGGAAAUAAUGCGAAAUUUAAGGAGUAUACAGGCUUUGGAGGGCAGUAGAGAGCUUGGAAAGCUCAUUGGUAUCUCCCGUACGUCUUGUUUCUUCUUACAAAGAGAAAUGCAGAAAACGAAAGAACUAAUGACAAAAGUAACAAAACAAAAACUGUUUGAAAAGAAGAGCUCAGGACUUCCCAACAAAGAAUCAUAUCGUCGUGACAGCUAUGAAUUCCUUAAAGGCAUUUUAAACUGAGUUCCCUAUGGAUUUAGCAAUACAUUUAGAGGAAAUGCACUUACUAUGGACACCAACUUCUGCAUCUGCCUGAUCAUAUUUAAAGGAACAGAAGAAAUGUUUGUAAUUAAUCUGCCCAGUAAAUACCAGAUCAUAGCAUGAGGCAGUUAUUUAGAAGUUAGAACUUCCUCAUCAUUGAUUUAAAUCAACAUCCUGUGUUAAAACUAUGUAUGCUAUAACAAAAAAUAAAAAAAAUUGGACUACACCAGCCAGCCAAGAUGCUGACAUUUGGGCACAGUGAUUACAGAUGGUGACCAUGGACAGCGAUGUUCCUGCUGAUUCGGCAGUGAUUCAAGGCUGCUUUUCUGUGCUGACCUGCCCUUUGAGUCUUUAUGCACAUUUGCUUUGAAAAAGAAAUACUUCCUGAUUUUUGCUUUGUCUAAACCUACUUCCUUUAUCAGACUUAGAAGCACAUACCUUCUUGUAUCAGCCUGUGGCUGUCCAUGUCUAGAACCAAAUUUUCUUUGUAUAUAUGUGUUUGUUGUUUUAAAAUAUAUGACCACUUACUCAAUAUACUUUAAUGGCUGUCUUGUGAAAGAAAUAUAUUCAUUAAAAACAUACAUUGAUGUGA